AAAGACUACACACUAUGAUGCAUAAAUACAUAUAUACCUACUAAAUAAGUGUCAGCAGUUUCACAGAGACACUGGAGAUUUUAUAAGUGUGAGCAAACUCUUAUACUUUUCCUUCUCGACUAUAAACAAAUAGCUUGGUAUACUUGAUUUCUUUGAAAACUGAAAUUCAUGUUUUUAUGUCCUUAUCCACCAAUUGUGCUGGCUGCGGUGCUUUAUUACGCUAUAUUCCACAUCCUGUAACUAACAGCUGACUAAGCCGAUGCGGAGAAGUCUAUUCUGUGUCAUGCGAGACAUGAUUUCAUUUUGUUAUGUUACAGUGCAAAAGAAUGAAUUCCUGCAAUAGAUGAAGGGAAAAUGAGUUGAUCCUAUUUAGAGAUUUUGGUAAAGGAAAGAAGAACAAGAAUGAAAUGGAUUUCUGCAAUAAUUUCUUUGGUAAAAAAUAAUUUUCUUUUGACCGAAAAUGAUCCUAAUUUUAGGAAGAUUCGAAGCUUUUGAGUGGCUUAGUAGAACGUUGGAAUUCCAUGCGCUCUUCUGGGACUUUCAAUAGAUUUUUAAAGUAAAUUUUUGGCUUUGUUUGUCAGGCUUCAGCGGAAAGCAUGUAUGAGUUGAUGGCCAUCGAUAUUGUCUUCCUGCUGCUAUACAUGUUGGGUUAGAAGGAAACUCCGCCGGACAUUGAACAUCACAGGUGAUUUUUUAUCGCAUCUUUUAUGUGUUGCUGCUGUGCCCUGGUACAAGAAUGGAGAGACGUGGAGAUCCGUUUACCUUUUACGAUACAAUCAGAUACGAUCAUGGAAGACUGCAAUGGGUCAGCUGCUUUGGAAUAUAAAAAAUAUCAGCUUAUGAGUUAGGCCUUGGCAAUUCUGUGUUGGAAUGCAACAAGAGCACAGUGGACGGAUUGAACCGAUCAAGCAGUAAGAAAUCAAAGACGGAUCAAGAGAUCACUUACCAGUAGGAGUUCGAGCAGUAUUGAGCGAUUGACUUUGAUAAAAGCCACGUCCCCAUUCUCCAGCACCUUGGCCGUGUUGACAGGGCUGGCAUGCCUGCUCAGAUAGCUUAUCACCAGAGAGAGGACUCUGCCGGUGACAUUGUGCACGGGAAUUGUCUUCGGUUCUGCGUUGACCUCGAGUAGCUGUUUGAUCGUUCCCGAUUUGAGCACGAUCCUCUCCUGUACUUCGAAGGUCUCGCCAUUGGAGCUCUUGAGUGUCACUUUCCUCCUCGAAGCCGACGACAACGACGACACUGACAUGUCUUUCCUUGGGCUCAAAUUCGAUGACGACACUGACAUUUUCACUGGGUUGUGAUUUUUUAUCUGUUUUGGGGUUUGUCUGGUCUGGUCUGGACUGGACUCUCUCUCUCUCUAUUUAUAGAAGAUUUUGACUUUGAGCUGAGCCUUGGUCUUCGGCCUAUAUCCUCCGAUUACAUUGGGCUUCCUAUUAAUUACUAUCUUUCUUCUUCUUUUAUUUUUUUUUCCUUCUUUUAUUUUUUUUGGCUUUCUUUGUUCUGCUGUUGAUUGAUGAUGAAAACGGCUUACUAUGCUAUUUUAUCUUAUUAUUUCUUGGUCAUAUUGAAAAAUUGUCUAUUCAUACGAAAAUAACUUUCAAAAAUAUAACUAGAUUAUAAUUGUUUUAUUUCUCGAGUAUUACCCUAUUGUCCCUUGUUCUUCGACCGAAAAUCUUGAUUCUUCGUCUAAAAAUAAACAUAGUCCACUUUAUUUUGAUUACUUUUUUUUUCUCUCUCUCCAUGCUCGUGCAAUGCUAGAUAAAAUUUCUUUCAUUAAUUUUCUAAUUGCUUAAUUUAUUUUGAUUAUUUUAACUCACAAGUUAUAUAUUUGAAUAAUUAUAAUACUUGUGAGAUACAAAAUCCGACUUAUAUAUAUAUAUAUAUAUAUAUAUAUUCCAUAUUCCCUUUAUAUAAUAAGGGAAGUGAUCCUUCUCUAUGUGAUAACUUUGUUUUUAAUUGGGUUAUGGCGGGUGGGGGUGGUUGUGAAACUGCGGGAUAUAUGUGAUAAUUUAAUUGAUAUCAAAUAUCAAUUAUCAAAUAGCUUGGUAUACUUGAUUUCUUUGAAAACUGAAAUUCAUGUUUUUAUAUCCUUAUCCUCCAAUUGUGGUGGCUGCAGUGCUUUAUUACGUUAUAUUCCACAUCCCGUAACUGACGGCUGACUAAGCCAAUGCGGAGAAGUCUAUUCUGUUUCAUGCGAGACAUGAUUCAUUUUGUGAUGUUAUAAUGCAAAAGAAUGAAUUCCUGGAAUAGGUGAAGGGAAAAUGAGUUGGAUCCUAUUCAGGGAUUUUGAUAAAAGGAAAGAAGAACAAGAAUGAAAUGGAUUUCUGCAAUAAUUUCUUUGGCUUCGGCAGAAAGCAUGUAAUGAGUUGAUGGCCAUUGAUAUUGUCUUGCAGCUGCUAUACAUGCUGGGUUAGAAGGAAGUUCCGCAGGACAUUGAACAUCGUGGGUGAUUUAUUAUCACAUGUUUUAUGUGUUGCUGCUGUGCCCUGGUACAAGAAUGGAGAGACGUGGAGAUCCGUUUACCUUUUUACGAUACAAUCAGAUAUGAUCAUGGAGGAUUGCAAUGGGUCAGCUGCUUUGGAAUAUAAAAAAUAUCAGCUUAUGAGUUAGGCCUUGGCAAUUCUGUGUUGGAAUGCAACAGCUAGAGUAUGAUAGAAACUCUUACUCUGUUCUAUGCGUUAAAUACUGACGGUUAGCUCGGGUCACUGCACAACUUUAGAACUCUUUUGCAAAAAGAUCAGCCUCUACGCCAGCCUCGGCAUUUCCGUGUUGGGAUGCAAGAACAAGAGCACAGUAGACGGAUCAAACCGAUCAAGCAGUAGGAAAUCAAAAAUGGAUCAAGAGAUCACUUACCAGUAGGAGUUCAAGCAGUAUUGAGACAUUGACUUUGAUUAAAGCUUCGUCCCAGUCCUCCAGCUCCUUGGCCGUGCUGCCAGGUUGGUGUGGCUGCUUAAAUAGCUAAUAACCAGAUAGGACUUUGCCAGUGACAUUGUCCACGGGAAUUGUCUUCGUUCUAUGUUGACCUCAAGCAGCUGUUUGAUUGUUCUCGAUCUGAGCGCGAUCCUCUCCUCUACUUCGAAGGUCUCGCCGUUGGAGCUCUUGAGCGUCACUUUACUCCUCAAAGUCGUCGUCGACGAUGACAACGUUGACAUGUCUUUCCUAGGGCUCAAAUUGGACGACGACACUGACGUUUUCACUGGGCUGAGAUUUUUAGCUGUUUUGGGCUUUGUUUGGUCUGGUCUGGACUGGCGACUCUCUCUCUCUAUUUAUAGAAGAUUUAGGCUUUGAGCCGAGCCUUAGGUCUUCGGGCUUUAUCCUCCGAUUACAUUGGGCUUCUUAUCAAUUUAAUAUCUUUUCUGCUUCUUUUGUUUA